AGGGAUAAGAGGUUUAGCCGGAUUAGGGACUUCGUCUUGCUCGCGUAGCGUAUGUUGAACGUGUUGGAACCUUGCUGAGGUAAGGGCACUUUCUAACGAUUCCAUAUAUCUCGAAAUAUCGAGUGUUUUUUAUGCAUGUGUAAUUUUUUGCUUGAAUAUGUGUAUUUGCUUGAUGUGAUGCAAUUUGAAUUAUGAGCAUGUUGGAAAUUUCAUAUGAUUGAAUAAUAUGAAAUGUGGUGGGUGGCAUUUAGUAUGGUCAAGCAUAAAACUCGUCUUUAAAUAAAAUCAGAGUUAUCUUUUUUCAAAAUGACGAUCGGAAUGCAAUGCCU
rnacentral:lncRNA from 1 species